CGGUGUUUUCAGAUUCAGACAAAUCAAUCAAUCGGACCGUCCUCAAUUUUUAUGGGUUUUUAGUUUUUUAAUAUAUAUAAAAAAAAGAGAACUUUGUGAUAAAUUUUCAAAACCUGAGAAGCUCGAUUCGAAUCCGAGAUUCACCAAAGUUGAGGCUUUUGGAAUUGCCGAGUCCCUGAAACAUCUUUGAACCCAGGAAAGUUUGCAGCUUUUCAUGUAUCAUCCGACGAGAGGCGGUGUUCGUGGUGGUCGAGAUCAGUUUAGUUGGGAUGAAGUGAAGGCUGAUAAACAUAGGGAGAACUAUUUGGGUCACAGCGUCAAGGCCCCUGUUGGACGAUGGCAAAAAGGUAAAGAUCUUAACUGGUAUGCUAGAGAUAAGAAACAAGGGGGUUCCAACACGGAUGCUAUGAAAGAGGAGAUUCAAAGAGUUAAGGAACAAGAGGAACAAGCCAUGAGGGAGGCUCUGGGUUUAGCACCAAAGUCCUCUACAAGACCACAAGGCAAUCGCCUUGACAAGCAAGAGUAUACUGAACUUAUCAAAAGGGGUUCAACAGCCGAGGACCUGGGUGCAGGGAAGGCUGAUGCAGUUUGGGUUCACGGCAUUGGCUAUGCAAAAGCACCACGUCCUUGGGAAGAUCCUAGCACCCUUGCACCCUCUCAGACAGAAGACAAAGGGCCAGCACCUCUGCCAGCAGAUGCACCAGUGAUCAAAACUGUUGAAGAUGUACCAAAAGAUACUGAGAGGAGUCAAGAGAAGGAUAAGCACGAGGAAAGGAAACCUGCGAAGAGAGAUAGGGAAGAGAGACAUGAAAGGCGUGAUAAACAUGAAAAGCGCGAGAAACGUGAGAGGCAUGAAAAGCGACACAGUCGUGAUUCAGAUGACAGGAAGAAGCACAAGAAAGAGAAGAAGGAUAGGAAGAGGAGGCAUGACUCUGACUCCGAUUGAGUUAUAAACUGUGCCGCUGUGUCUCUUGUUCUCUUACAGGGGAGAAGCUGUCUCUUCUGCAAGAUUUAAAGAUCUUUAUCUCAUUUCACAAUAAAAACUAAGAACUCCAAAAAAAGUCGAAUGGGAAAACGAAAUCGGGCUGAGAGACGAGUUAACUUAUCGAAUUGGCAAGGAUCACAAGUGGAAAAGAGGAACACCAAAACUUGGAGAGAUGACAGUUGAAAGGGAACAAAGCGUACCGCGUGUGGAAUCCGGAGGCAGGAGCGAGAAGACGAGCUCUGAGAAGUGAAGACGUGCGGCUGCGUGCGAUCGCUGCGUGCCGGAGGAGCGGAAGCACCAUGGCAGCCACUUUGAGAGAAGGAGGAAGGUUCGAAGAAAAUAUUCAC